CCUACGGGAGGCAGCAGUGGGGAAUAUUGCACAAUGGGGGAAACCCUGAUGCAGCAACGCCGCGUGAAGGAUGACGGUUUUCGGAUUGUAAACUUCUUUUCUUAGUGACGAAGACAGUGACGGUAGCUAAGGAAUAAGCAUCGGCUAACUACGUGCCAGCAGCCGCGGUAAUACGUAGGAUGCAAGCGUUAUCCGGAUUUACUGGGUGUAAAGGGAGCGCAGGCGGGACUGCAAGUUGGAUGUGAAAUACCGUGGCUUAACCACGGAACUGCAUCCAAAACUGUAGUUCUUGAGUGAAGUAGAGGCAAGCGGAAUUCCGAGUGUAGCGGUGAAAUGCGUAGAUAUUCGGAGGAACACCAGUGGCGAAGGCGGCUUGCUGGGCUUUAACUGACGCUGAGGCUCGAAAGUGUGGGGAGCAAACAGGAUUAGAUACCCUGGUAGUCCACACUGUAAACGAUGAUAGCUAGGUGUGGGGGGUCUGACCCCUUCCGUGCCGGAGUUAACGCAAUAAGCUAUCCACCUGGGGAGUACGACCGCAAGGUUGAAACUCAAAGGAAUUGACGGGGGCCCGCACAAGCAGUGGAGUAUGUGGUUUAAUUCGACGCAACGCGAAGAACCUUACCAAGUCUUGACAUCCCUUGACAGGCAUAGAAAUAUGUUUUCUCUUCGGAGCAAGGAGACAGGUGGUGCAUGGUUGUCGUCAGCUCGUGUCGUGAGAUGUUGGGUUAAGUCC
rnacentral:rRNA from 1 species